ensembl:lncRNA
UAAGGGGACCCUGCUACACCCUUUCCUACCAUACAACUGAUGGACACUGACUGUAAAAAUGGCGAUCAUAGGAGGAGGGUUCAGUGUGGUGACAGAAGAUGGAAUAGACGUGUGCCAGUGCACCAGCCUGGAUGAAGCCUUCAUAACAGCCUUCUGGAUGUAUUUUGCUUUCAACAUUGCAUAUCCACCACACCUGAGAAAGACACUGACUUUCCUUCAGAGGCACAGUCAACAUUAGAAGAGGGAGACAAGCACUGCCAGUAACUUUACUCUGAAUGAUUAGCCUUUUGUAUUAGAUCCUCAUGCCUCAACUGUACCAUUGCCCAAAGUGCACUCGAAGGACAUUCACUCUUUUGAAGUUAAUCCAACAUGUUGAACCAAAAAUUAGUAUAACCUAUGGUGUAGAUGAGUGCCAGUCACCUUUUUUGUGAUUCCAUUCUUUUAGAAAACAUGCACAGGCAGGAAGUCUGUCAGUCCAGAUGUGAGGAAGACAGAGUGAGUUUGAGCUCAGCAGGUGUGAUGGCUGUGGAUGCAUCUACAAAAACACCACUGGAUACUGUAGCCAUGGAAAGAAGGGGGUCUUCACAGCUUUCUAUUCAGACAAAGAGUUUGCUGGAUUCUGUUCUAUGGACUGCUACUACAGAAUGAAUGAAUAAGUGGUUUAUCUAUCUAUCUAUCUAUCUAUCUAUCUAUCUAUAUAUUUUUACUUAAAUUGGCGACUGAAACUGAAAGCUAAAUAAAUGUUUUAGUGGAUAAAGCUGUGUCUGUUUGCUUAAUUGGUUAAUGUCACUUAACAUAAGGUUACUAAACUUUUCUGACUAAUUUUUAAAUUUUAUAAUUUAGUGGUUUUGUCAACUAUAUAUUUUUCUUUAUCAGGCAAAACAUAACCUAAACUUGCGUUGGUGAUGACGUCAGUAACCCACACCAUACAGAAGAUUUGAAG